rnacentral:rRNA from 1 species
AUGACUCUCGGCAACGGAUAUCUCGGCUCUCGCAUCGAUGAAGAACGUAGCGAAAUGCGAUACUUGGUGUGAAUUGCAGAAUCCCGUGAACCAUCGAGUCUUUGAACGCAAGUUGCUCCCGAAGCCGUCAGGCUAAGGGCACGUCUGCCUGGGUGUCACGC